rnacentral:RNase_P_RNA from 6 species
CAAGUAGACAAGGCAAUCGCCCCCGCAAAAUUCAUUUCAUUCAUCGCGGGGGAGGAAAGUCCGAACUCUCACUCCUGAUUUUCAGGGUUAAAAGGGUAGCGGGUAACGCCCGUCGGCGGUGACGCUAGAGGUGCGAACAGUGACGAUUCUCCGUCAUAAGACGGAGGGUGAAACGGCUAAAUCCUUACCCGAGAGCAAGAGCAAACCGGGAGUCCUGAGGUUUAUCUUAGAGCUUUCGUGAAAAGUAGCUCGCUUAGAUAGAUGAUUGCCCAAAACAGAAUUCGGCUUAUUGUCUGCUUGGGCU